UCCCUCCCUCCUCUCUCUCUCUCUCUCUCGCUGCCUCUUGCUCUCACCCUCUCUCUCGUUCUGGAACUGCCAAGCAGUUUUCUCUGAGCCUCAUUCAAGCAAAAUAAAACACACUCAUGCACGCCUGUCCCAAGAAGAGCGGCGUCUUUGGAACCAAGUAUUUGGACCCUCAGAAGCAGAAAACACAGGUGUGUUUGUGUUCGGAAGAGAAGUAGAGUUUGAGGUUGAACCAGGAAUCAGGAAGUGGGAGGACCCAACCAUCAAACGAGGACCACUGAGGCAGCCGUUGGAUGAAUGGGAGUUUGUCUGAUGCUUGGAGCGAUGAGAGGCUCUGUCGGUGACAGAACCGUCAGCAACCACAGGACAUAAGCUUUAACCAGCUGGAAAUAUAAUGGAAGCGGAGUCCCGUUUUGGCUCAAGGUGAUUCUAAAUGUGAUUUUGUCUCCCUCUUUGCUACAGAGGAAAUUGGUCUGCGCUUUGUUGGAUUUUGCUGCUCUGUAGGAGCGAGCUGGCGACUCCCGCUGGUGUCUGUGGACACAGCCUCUUUACGCGUCCUGAUACGCAGUCUCCCAAGGAUCUUGCCUAUUCGAACCUCGCAUAUCUUCAAUACGAGAAUAUUGCGAGAUAGAUUUGUAUCCCACUCUGAACUGGAGACAAAACGCACUUAACGGGAUUUAGCGACCUAGAGCUGUUGCUGAUGCUUUUUCUGCCAAGACACAUGGCUUCCUUUGUCCGAGAGGCACCGUAGCUUUGUAAGAGCUUCUCGUAUCUCGUUGGAAUUUUAUUGGAAACGGAUUCUCUUUUCGCAUGGAUGUCAUCGAUUUAAACGGAGUUGAAUUCGCCGCCUAUUUGUGGAUUACAUUAUUUUGACAAGCAGAAUGUGAAACGGGGCCAUAUUUACUACACAGCGAAAGUGAUAUCUUAACUAAUAUUUUCCUUCUUGCCAGUUUCGCCACAUCAAAGGGCUCUGAUGCCAGCUCAGAGAAAUUCUUCAGCACCGCUGCAGUUAAAGUUCCAGAUUUCAGCAUCGAUGCGCUGCCACCAAUGACAUCCAGGAGCGUGGCGGCCUGGCCUUCCCAAGGUGUCAGGCCUAGAGCGCAGCCAGGAGAAAGAGCCAGGAGAGCUGCAAGACUCCCCGUUGCCUCUCCCCGC